AGCGAACGCUGGCGGCAGGCCUAACACAUGCAAGUCGAACGAACCCUUCGGGGUUAGUGGCGGACGGGUGAGUAACACGUGGGAACGUGCCUUUAGGUUCGGAAUAACUCAGGGAAACUUGUGCUAAUACCGAAUGUGCCCUUCGGGGGAAAGAUUUAUCGCCUUUAGAGCGGCCCGCGUCUGAUUAGCUAGUUGGUGAGGUAAUGGCUCACCAAGGCUACGAUCAGUAGCUGGUCUGAGAGGAUGACCAGCCACAUUGGGACUGAGACACGGCCCAAACUCCUACGGGAGGCAGCAGUGGGGAGUCUUGCGCAAUGGGCGUAAGCCUGACGCAGCCAUGCCGCGUGGAUGAUGAAGGUCUUAGGAUUGUAAAAUCCUUUCACCGGUGAAGAUAAUGACUGUAGCCGGAGAAGAAGCCCCGGCUAACUUCGUGCCAGCCGCCGCAGUAAAAC
rnacentral:rRNA from 1 species